rnacentral:rRNA from 1 species
GAUGAACGCUGACAGAAUGCUUAACACAUGCAAGUCAACUUGAACUUCGGUUUGGGUGGCGGACGGGUGAGUAACGCGUACAGAACUUGCCUCACAGUUAGGGACAACAUUUGGAAACGAAUGCUAAUACCUGAUAUUAUGAUUUUAGGGCAUCCUAGAAUUAUGAAAGCUAUAUGCGCUGUGAGAGAGCUUUGCGUCCCAUUAGCUAGUUGGAGAGGUAACGGCUCACCAAGGCGAUGAUGGGUAGCCGGCCUGAGAGGGUGAACGGCCACAAGGGGACUGAGACACGGCCCUUACUCCUACGGGGGGCAGCAGUGGGGAAUAUUGGACAAUGGACCAAGAGUCUGAUCCAGCAAUUCUGUGUGCACGAUGAAGUUUUUCGGAAUGUAAAGUGCUUUCAGUUGGGAAGAAAAAAAUGACGGUACCAACAGAAGAAGUGACGGCUAAAUACGUG